rnacentral:rRNA from 1 species
UGCCCCUGACUCUGGGAUAAGCGCUGGAAACGGCGUCUAAUACUGGAUACUAACCAACUCUUAAUCUUCAGUGGUUGGAAAGAUUUUUCGGUUGGGGAUGGGCUCGCGGCCUAUCAGCUUGUUGGUGAGGUAAUGGCUCACCAAGGCGUCGACGGGUAGCCGGCCUGAGAGGGUGACCGGCCACACUGGGACUGAGACACGGCCCAGACUCCUACGGGAGGCAGCAGUGGGGAAUAUUGCACAAUGGGCGGAAGCCUGAUGCAGCAACGCCGCGUGAGGGAUGACGGCCUUCGGGUUGUAAACCUCUUUUAGCAGGGAAGAAGCGAAAGUGACGGUACCUGCAGAAAAAGCGCCGGCUAACUACGUGCCAGCAGCCGCGGUAAUACGUAGGGCGCAAGCGUUAUCCGGAAUUAUUGGGCGUAAAGAGCUCGUAGGCGGUUUGUCGCGUCUGCUGUGAAAUCUGGGGGCUCAACCCCCAGCCUGCAGUGGGUACGGGCAGACUAGAGUGCGGUAGGGGAGAUUGGAAUUCCUGGUGUAGCGGUGGAAUGCGCAGAUAUCAGGAGGAACACCGAUGGCGAAGGCAGAUCUCUGGGCCGUAACUGACGCUGAGGAGCGAAAGGGUGGGGAGCAAACAGGCUUAGAUACCCUGGUAGUCCACCCCGUAAACGUUGGGAACUAGUUGUGGGGUCCAUUCCACGGAUUCCGUGACGCAGCUAACGCAUUAAGUUCCCCGCCUGGGGAGUACGGCCGCAGGCUAAACUUCAAAGGAAUUGACGGGGACCCGCACAAGCGGCGGAGCAUGCGGAUUAAUUCGAUGCACGCGAGAACCUUACCAGGCUGACAUAUACGA